AAGGAUAUCUUGAAAGAAUGGUGUAUCUAACUCUGCACAUUCGUUUGGUGGUCUAAUAUUCUGCACAAUGUGGUUUGCCAAAUCUUCAGGCACUUGGAAAUAUAAGGCUCCCAGCUCAGUCCAAUUGUCGAACCAGAAUUGAGCUGAUCCCAUUCUCGGUUUCCAGUAGAUUUGAUGCUCAAUCAAGUC